GCUGGGCGGCUUCUUUCGGGCAGGGCCUCGCUGGACUUGGGUGGCCCUCCCAGGAAGGAGGAGCCCCCCGACUGUGGUGGCCAUGUGCCCCUGCCGUCCUGCAGUGGCCGUUUCUCAGGACACGGCCUACAGGGCCCAGGGCCACCUCUGGGGGACUCUGCCUGCACCCUGAGUCAGGAAGAGCCGCAAUGCUUCCUCGGGUCCUCCCUUUCAACCAGUCUGGAGUCUGAGUCGGGGGAGGGGGCACUAACUGAGCUCCCCAAAAACCGCAAAGCCCAGAUCCAGCCACAGCUGGAUGACUCCACACAGGGGCCGCCUGUGCCCCACCUGGCACUGGUGCUUAAUCUGUUGCGUCCAGGCUUCUGGCACCUGCCCCCAAAAGACCCAAGGAACUUGGGGCCUAAGCAGGUCUACACAGCCGGAGGGACCCAGGCCACACAUGCAG
rnacentral:lncRNA from 1 species